CAGAUGUCAUGAAUUGCAUGGCCCCAGGAUGGCCUAAAGGAAAAACUUGUCCCAGUUGCAACAGAAGUUUUGGAAUUUAGUAGGAACCUUUAAUAAGGUUCCUUGUUAAUCCAGCAGCAAAAUCCUUUCCCUCCUGCGCUCUGUGACCAAGACAGAGAAUAAGUAUUCUGGGCUGGAAGACCUACAAAAAGAGGCCUGGUUUUACAGACCCUGGUUUCAGGCCCCUAGAAAGGGAUUGCUUCAAGCUGUAAGAAGUCCAACCACUCCUUGUUUAACCUCUUCACUCUGUCCAGAGCUUUCUGAUGCCUCCGGCUGCUGUGUUCAUGCCCUUCCCCAGCCAAAAUGGAGCCAGGUGGAGAGAAAGUGAGGCUGUAGACCCAGAGAACUCCCUCUUACAGGGUUUGGAGAGCAGAGAAAGUAUCAGAGAAAAGCAGGAGCAUCUCUUCCUUGGUCUGUUUUGCACCCUUUUGUGACAGGCAUCUUAGAGGACACUGCCCCAGAGAAGCUGCUUGCUGGUCAUGAUGCACCGCCUGGGUGAUUUUAUUUUCUGCAGCUGAGGUUGUGGUAAUUUGUCCUGUCCCUGCUCCUGCCUUCUUCCCCACAGCCCUGUUGCAUGCUGUUCUACUCCCAUCACCCUGUAAGCUCACAACAAAGCCUUUCACUAGGGAAUGAAGGGACUCUCCCAGUGUCUCCUCCUGUCUCCAUAAGGUCCUGUGCCAAUUCUGUUAUGGGGCUCAGCAGUAUGACUGUGUAAACUUGCUUGUGGUUGAAAUUAUGUCCUCAUAAUCCCAAUAACGGGGGUGGUGGGACCAUUUAAACAUUAACUGUUGUGUGAUGGGCAUAAGGGGUAAUUAUGGCAGGGUGUUUUUAUCUAAACAAACAUUCUCUUAUGAACUUACAUAAGCAUACUUGAUAAGGGGGGAAAAAAAUUAGAUUUUAAAAGAAUUAAAUUCUUAGCACAGAUUUUAAUUUGGAAUGAUGCCCUUCCCUGCCCCAACCAAACAGAGUAUCUGCAUACUUAAACUGGAAGGUGACUGGGGCUAAUGAGACCCUUGUUCUGCUCUUGGUUGUGCUUCUGGCUGGCAGGCUGAACUUCUUCAGGCAGCCUCCCUUUUCCCCACUUAAAAAGGGUAUAAAAUGAUAUUGACCCAAUUGGCAAAGUGUGUUGAGGUGGCAGCUUCGCUUCUCUGAGGAACUUGUGGCAGGUCAGAGGCUUGAUAACAGCCAAGAACAAAGAUGAGGUGUCAUCUGGUGUGCAUAUGGAAGCGCUCCCACUACAGACACUAUUUGGCAUACAAGACCUGAGCUAAGCACUUCACGUGAAAGGUAACUGCAAUGGAAGCACACUGAGAUCACUUUGU
rnacentral:lncRNA from 1 species